UACGUAGGGUGCAAGCGUUGUCCGGAAUUAUUGGGCGUAAAGAGCUCGUAGGCGGUUUGUCGCGUCUGUUGUGAAAAUCCAGGGCUUAACCCUGGACCUGCAUCGGGUACGGGCAGACUAGAGUGUGGUAGGGGAGACUGGAAUUCCUGGUGGAGCGGUGAAAUGCGCAGAUAUCAGGAGGAACACCGAUGGCGAAGGCAGGUCUCUGGGCCAUAACUGACGCUGAGAAGCGAAAGCAUGGGGAGCGAACAGG
rnacentral:rRNA from 1 species